AAUCCAUAGGUUAAUGAGGCGAACCGGGGGAACUGAAACAUCUAAGUACCCCGAGGAAAAGAAAUCAACCGAGAUUCCCCCAGUAGCGGCGAGCGAACGGGGAGGAGCCCAGAGCCUGAAUCAGCAUGUGUGUUAGUGGAAGCGUCUGGAAAGGCGCGCGAUACAGGGUGACAGCCCCGUACACAAAAGCGCAUGUGCUGUGAGCUCGAUGAGUAGGGCGGGACACGUGGUAUCCUGUCUGAAUAUGGGGGGACCAUCCUCCAAGGCUAAAUACUCCUGACUGACCGAUAGUGAACCAGUACCGUGAGGGAAAGGCGAAAAGAACCCCGGCGAGGGGAGUGAAAAAGAACCUGAAACCGUGUACGUACAAGCAGUGGGAGCACCCUUUGGGUGUGACUGCGUACCUUUUGUAUAAUGGGUCAGCGACUUAUAUUCUGUAGCAAGGUUAACCGAAUAGGGGAGCCGGAGGGAAACCGAGUCUUAACCGGGCGUUAAGUUGCAGGGUAUAGACCCGAAACCCGGUGAUCUAGCCAUGGGCAGGUUGAAGGUUGGGUAACACUAACUGGAGGACCGAACCGACUAAUGUUGAAAAAUUAGCGGAUGACCUGUGGCUGGGGGUGAAAGGCCAAUCAAACCGGGAGAUAGCUGGUUCUCCCCGAAAGCUAUUUAGGUAGCGCCUCGUGAAUUCAUCUCCGGGGGUAGAGCACUGUUUCGGCUAGGGGGCCAUCCCGGCUUACCAACCCGAUGCAAACUGCGAAUACCGGAGAAUGUUAUCACGGGAGACACACGGCGGGUGCUAACGUCCGUCGUGAAGAGGGAAACAACCCAGACCGCCAGCUAAGGUCCCAAAGUCAUGGUUAAGUGGGAAACGAUGUGGGAAGGCCCAGACAGCCAGGAUGUUGGCUUAGAAGCAGCCAUCAUUUAAAGAAAGCGUAAUAGCUCACUGGUCGAGUCGGCCUGCGCGGAAGAUGUAACGGGGCUAAACCAUGCACCGAAGCUGCGGCAGCGACACUGUGUGUUGUUGGGUAGGGGAGCGUUCUGUAAGCCUGUGAAGGUGUGUCGUGAGGCAUGCUGGAGGUAUCAGAAGUGCGAAUGCUGACAUAAGUAACGAUAAAGCGGGUGAAAAGCCCGCUCGCCGGAAGACCAAGGGUUCCUGUCCAACGUUAAUCGGGGCAGGGUGAGUCGACCCCUAAGGCGAGGCCGAAAGGCGUAGUCGAUGGGAAACGGGUUAAUAUUCCCGUACUUGGUGUUACUGCGAAGGGGGGACGGAGAAGGCUAUGUUGGCCGGGCGACGGUUGUCCCGGUUUAAGCGUGUAGGUGUGUGUUCCAGGUAAAUCCGGUUCACUUUAACACUGAGGCGUGACGACGAGGCACUACGGUGCUGAAGCAACAAAUGCCCUGCUUCCAGGAAAAGCCUCUAAGCAUCAGGUAACAUCAAAUCGUACCCCAAACCGACACAGGUGGUCAGGUAGAGAAUACCAAGGCGCUUGAGAGAACUCGGGUGAAGGAACUAGGCAAAAUGGUGCCGUAACUUCGGGAGAAGGCACGCUGACACGUAGGUGAAGUGAUUUACUCAUGGAGCUGAAGUCAGUCGAAGAUACCAGCUGGCUGCAACUGUUUAUUAAAAACACAGCACUGUGCAAACACGAAAGUGGACGUAUACGGUGUGACGCCUGCCCGGUGCCGGAAGGUUAAUUGAUGGGGUCAGCGCAAGCGAAGCUCCUGAUCGAAGCCCCGGUAAACGGCGGCCGUAACUAUAACGGUCCUAAGGUAGCGAAAUUCCUUGUCGGGUAAGUUCCGACCUGCACGAAUGGCGUAAUGAUGGCCAGGCUGUCUCCACCCGAGACUCAGUGAAAUUGAACUCGCUGUGAAGAUGCAGUGUACCCGCGGCAAGACGGAAAGACCCCGUGAACCUUUACUAUAGCUUGACACUGAACAUUGAGCCUUGAUGUGUAGGAUAGGUGGGAGGCUUUGAAGUGUGGACGCCAGUCUGCAUGGAGCCGACCUUGAAAUACCACCCUUUAAUGUUUGAUGUUCUAACGUGGACCCGUUACCCGGGUUGCGGACAGUGUCUGGUGGGUAGUUUGACUGGGGCGGUCUCCUCCUAAAGAGUAACGGAGGAGCACGAAGGUUGGCUAAUCCUGGUCGGACAUCAGGAGGUUAGUGCAAUGGCAUAAGCCAGCUUGACUGCGAGCGUGACGGCGCGAGCAGGUGCGAAAGCAGGUCAUAGUGAUCCGGUGGUUCUGAAUGGAAGGGCCAUCGCUCAACGGAUAAAAGGUACUCCGGGGAUAACAGGCUGAUACCGCCCAAGAGUUCAUAUCGACGGCGGUGUUUGGCACCUCGAUGUCGGCUCAUCACAUCCUGGGGCUGAAGUAGGUCCCAAGGGUAUGGCUGUUCGCCAUUUAAAGUGGUACGCGAGCUGGGUUUAGAACGUCGUGAGACAGUUCGGUCCCUAUCUGCCGUGGGCGCUGGAGAACUGAGGGGGGCUGCUCCUAGUACGAGAGGACCGGAGUGGACGCAUCACUGGUGUUCGGGUUGUCAUGCCAAUGGCACUGCCCGGUAGCUAAAUGCGGAAGAGAUAAGUGCUGAAAGCAUCUAAGCACGAAACUUGCCCCGA
rnacentral:rRNA from 4 species